UUUCACAAUAUUGCCGUAUGUUGGAUCAAAUAAAAGUAGCCUUGGUUAGCAUAAGAGACUACUUUUAAAAACAUUAAAAAAAUCUUACUGAUCUAAAACUUUGGAAGUGUGAAGUUGCUAGUCUCUUCAAAGCGGAUUUUGUUUUGUUGUAUUUACAAAUCUAUUUAUGAAUUAUUAAUUAAUGUAUAUUAAGUAAGAUGUUCUCUCAUUUCAUUGACAUACUGAGCCUCAUGAAAUAAAUCGUGUACUGCCCUCUUGUGGCCUACAGUGGGAUUUUGCAUGUCUCAUGAUUUUUGUCUUAACAGGCAGACUUGAGUGACCCCUAGUGGCCGCCUGAGCUUCGGUACCAUAAGUAAUUCCGCAUAUUCCACGUUUAUUUGCUUGAGUGUGAACACAUAAAAGUUGUUUGGCUUGAGGAGAUAAAUGGUUCGUGUCCGGCCUGGCUCAUGUCCCGAUUUCCAUUCGACUUUACCCACUAUAAGAGGACUCGCAAUAUAAAAUGUGCAUUUGCUUGAUGCUCUAUCCAAAACAAAGAGGCAAGAGUUUUGGUUACAGCAGAAGAGUUCAUUUAGAGCUUGUUAACAUUCAGUUUUAAUAUGCGUUGACAAAACAAAACCGAGUAAAGAGAAGACAAAUGUUAUUAACCUAUUUAACACACUGCUCCUGUAGGUUGACAGGAACGCACAACAAUAAAUAGGCCAUGUGUCACGGUAAAUCUAGGCCAGUAGAACACUGAUGUCUAUAUGAAGAGGAAGUGCAGGAAUAUCACAGGAUCUGAUGUAAAUUGGGAGUAGUGACACUAAGGAAGAGGUUUUAUGUAUGGGAGUGCAACACUGUGGUCGUCUGGUUCGGGCUUCAAAUUCAUUAUAGGAUCUGGAACAAAGUUAAUUGUUCACUC